rnacentral:misc_RNA from 1 species
UUAGAUAUACCAGUUGUCGCCUCCUCAGUCCCUUACAGAUAUCUACAAAGGUUAAUAGAGGCACUUGCUGAUCUUUUGGAAAGCUGUCCACACUUGGAGUUUAUACUUCGUUGGUGUCAGGAGCUAUGCAAAGCUCAUGGUAACUCUAUUCAACAGAAUUCCAGAAAUCUUCUUCCUUCUUUAAAAUCUUUGCAGAAGGCUAUUACCAGAAUGCAUCAGGACUUGUCAGAUACUUGUUCUUCUAAUGAAUAUAUGCUCCGAUAUUUAUGCUCUGCAAGCAAUAAGAAAUGAUGGACAUCACCUUAUUGGUUGAAGAGUUAACUUUAAAGCCUGGUUGUUAACAUAUGGUGUCUGGGUUCACGCGACAUAAGCCUUGACGAGCGAAAGGCUCUCAC